rnacentral:rRNA from 1 species
GCUGACCGGACCACCUUGAGUAGUGCGCCCAACCUCAUCGGAUCUCAGAAGCUAAGCGAGUUUAAGCCUGGUUAGCACUUGGAUGGGAGACUGCCAUGAAGGAAUACCAGGUGCUGUAGGCU